UACAGAGGGUGCAAGCGUUGUUCGGAAUUAUUGGGCGUAAAGCGCGUGUAGGCGGCUUUGCAAGUCGGGUGUGAAAGCCCUCAGCUCAACUGAGGAAGUGCGCCCGAAACUGCAGAGCUUGAGUGCCGGAGAGGGUGGCGGAAUUCCCCAAAGUAGAGGUGAAAUUCGUAGAUAUGGGGAGGAACACCGGUGGCGAAGGCGGCCACCUGGACGGUAACUGACGCUGAGACGCGAAAGCGUGGGGAGCAAACAGGAUAGAUACCU
rnacentral:rRNA from 1 species